GUCCCCAUCGUCUAGCCCGGCCUAGGACAUCGGCCCUUCAAGCCGAUAACGGGGGUUCGAAUCCCCCUGGGGACA
rnacentral:tRNA from 1 species